GCCAAUGUAGCUCAGUUGGUAGAGCAGCUCACUCGUAAUGAGCAGGUCAGCGGUUCAAGUCCGCUCAUUGGCUCCA
rnacentral:tRNA from 1 species